CCUACGGGAGGCUGCAGUGAGGAAUAUUGGUCAAUGGGCGCGAGCCUGAACCAGCCAAGUCGCGUGAGGGAAGACGGCCCUACGGGUUGUAAACCUCUUUUGCCGGGGAGUAACGGGCGCCACGUGUGGCGCCACUGAGAGUACCCGGAGAAAAAGCAUCGGCUAACUCCGUGCCAGCAGCCGCGGUAAUACGGAGGAUGCGAGCGUUAUCCGGAUUUAUUGGGUUUAAAGGGUGCGUAGGCGGAGCGUUAAGUCAGUGGUCAAAUUGAGGGGCUCAACCCCUUCCCGCCAUUGAAACUGGCGCUCUUGAGUGGAAGAGAAGUAUGCGGAAUGCGUGGUGUAGCGGUGAAAUGCGUAGAUAUUAGGAGGAACACCAGUGGCGAAGGCGGCCUGCUGGGCUUUUACUGACGCUGAGGCUCGAAAGUGUGGGGAGCAAACAGGAUUAGAUACCCCAGUAGUC
rnacentral:rRNA from 1 species